GUACAUAAGUGCUUGCGCACCAAAGGGUUUUUUCAUUACAUUCGAGUGUGGGUGUAAAAAUCCUCUGCCAGCCAAAGCCAGCAAGAGGCCAAAGGUUCACAAGGGUGUGGAUGAAAGUCACCAACGUGCACAUGCAAGAGCCAGCACAGAAGAGGACGAUUCAUAAUUCGAUAAUGAUCCUUCCGCAGGUUCACCUACGGAAA
rnacentral:misc_RNA from 1 species